UGGGGAAUCUUCCGCAAUGGACGAAAGUCUGACGGAGCAACGCCGCGUGUAUGACGAAGGCCUUCGGGUUGUAAAGUACUGUCUUCGGGGACGAACGGUAUCUAUGUAAAUAAUGCAGAUACAUGACGGUACCCAAGGAGGAAGCCCCGGCUAACUACGUGCCAGCAGCCGCGGUAAUACGUAGGGGGCGAGCGUUGUCCGGAAUCAUUGGGCGUAAAGGGCGCGUAGGCGGGUCAUUAAGUCUGGUGUGAAAGGCAGGGGCUCAACCCCUGGAAGGCACCGGAAACUGGUUAUCUUGAGGACAGGAGAGGAAAGCGGAAUUCCACGUGUAGCGGUGAAAUGCGUAGAUAUGUGGAGGAACACCAGUGGCGAAGGCGGCUUUCUGGACUGUAACUGACGCUGAGGCGCGAAAGCGUGGGGAGCAAACAGGAUUAGAUACCCUGGUAGUCCACGCCGUAAACGAUGAGUGCUAGGUGUAGAGGGUAUCGACCCCUUCUGUGCCGCAGUUAACACAAUAAGCA
rnacentral:rRNA from 1 species